GUGAGGGCUUUGAGGUUAUGGAUGCCUUGAGACGGAGAUCCUGAGGCGAUGAGGGGGCACCCAAGGGAGUUCUGAGGUGAUGAAGACCCUGAGGGGGAACCCCAAAGGGUCCCUCAGGUGGUGAGGGGACACCCCAAAGUGUCCCCACAGCCCCCCCUGGACCCUUGCCAUCACCUCAGGGACCAUGAGCCUGCAACAUCUAAAAAUUAAAAUUGGAGAGUAAAAAUCCUUAUUCUCUUUGUGAGAUUAAAAAAAAUGCCACAGCACAAGAACAGAACAAAAGCCCCAAAAAUCCUCUGGUGGCGGUGAGACUUGGGACUGGCUCUGCCACUGAAGCACUCGUGACCCUGAUAACAUCACCUGUAUAAAUAAAUAAAUAUAAAUAAUAAUAAAAAAAAUCCCUCUUGGGAAUGAAUUUCAUUCCCAGUUUAGGGAAUGAAACAACACUGGCAGAGAUUUUGAGAGAUGCAGGGACAGAAAAAGAAGGAUCCACGAUGGAGCAGGAUCUCAGCGUGGCCACCUCCACCUCUGAGAAAACAACCAGCCUUCCAAACUGGGAUUUGACAGCCAAAACGAGGAUUUUUUUCAGGGAAAAAGAGUAAUUUUGGCCAUCAAGGGAGUGAAAGGAGCAGCUGAUUCCCUCAUUCCCAGAAAGCAGCAACAGGCUUUGCUGGGACAUAAAGAACCAGAUCCUCCUCAUCCUCAUUCUCUGGAAAGCCAUGGACGCCGAGGGGUUAACUGAAGGCAGAACGUGGCUCCAGGGGUCCCUUUUUGGAGCUCCACGAUGAAUUUUCAUCCAAGCCCAGGGAUCCCCAGGGAUUCCAGCCCACACUCCCAUGGUUUUUAGGCACACGAGCAGAGUUUUGACAUCUCCGCUCAGGGAGCAGCCUCGGGAAUGAACAAAGCAUUCCCCACGUUCACCGUGACCAAUCUGCUCAUUAACAGGGUUUUUAAAAAAAACUUUAAGGCUUCUAGUGGGAAACGGGACAGGGAUAACCAUCCCUGUAAAUCCUGGCUUGUUUCCCUAAGAUUUCCCAGUUUAACUACACGGAAGGACAGAGAAUUUUCACCACGUGAACUGGGGCUAAGAGCUGCAAAUAUUCAGUGUAUUCAGCAUGCUGGAAUUUGUGCCACACCUAGGGGACACUGUGCCAUUUCUUAUGGCUCAGGAGCCAUCUCUUUCUGGGCCCCGUGCUGGUUAAAUUUAUUUAAUCCUCACAACUAAUAAAGCUCUGAGCACUCCAAUAGUUCAUGAGGGUUGCAAGUAUAAAACAAUUUUUUCUGGAAUGCUGGUGCUUUCCCAGGAAUGUGAAGGGAAAAAAAAUAGAUUGAAGUGAUAGAAUUAUGUCUUACAAUGAAUUUUUGGCUUUUAUUGCCCAAAUCCUUCCUUAUUCCAUUGACUCUGAAGCCAUCAAAUGGUGUGCAGGGACGGGAUCUUUAUUAUCUCCCUUCAAAAGAAUGGGAUAAAGCAGCUGGAAUUCUCUCAGUGCCAGACAAAGCUCCUGCCAGGCUUAUUUAUUUUAUUUUUUAAUUUUUUAAUUUCUCCAGAGCCUUCAUUGGGAGGCAGCAGAUUUUGACAUUCCCAUCAGCUACAGAGGAUGAAGUAAGAACGUGCCAGGAACAGGAAAACUGGAGAAUUCCUGGAUUUUUUUUUUUUUCCCCACAGGGAAAUGUUUGCUUUGGGGGCACAUAAAGCUCUUGAAGCAAAUCCAAGGGAAGGCUGGAAAUUUACAACACAAACCUGCAGGGGCAACUCCUCCUCCCCAAAACCCAGCCUUUUAUUGGGAUGAAAUACAACAAAACACCCAUGUGGAGAGAAAAAAAAAA